AUACUUACCUGGCAGGGGAGAUGCCGUGAUCGUGAAGGUGGUUUCCCAGGGCGAGGCUUAUUCCUUGCCCUCCGGAUAUGCUGACCCCUGCGGUUCCCCAGGUGUGGGAGACUGGACUGCACAAUUUGUGGUAGUGGGGGACUGCGUUCGCGCUCUCCCCAA